rnacentral:tRNA from 1 species
UCCCUCCUAGUUCAGUUGGUAAAGAAUCUGCCUGCAAUGCAGGAGACCCUGGUUCAAUUCCUGGGUCGGGAA